UAGGGAAUAUUGCGCAAUGGGGGCAACCCUGACGCAGCAAUACCGCGUGAAGGAUGAAGGUUUUCGGAUUGUAAACUUCAGCAAGCAGGGAAGAAAAAAAUGACGGUACCUGAACAAAAGCCACGGCUAACUACGUGCCAGCAGCCGCGGUAAUACGUAGGUGGCAAGCGUUGUCCGGAUUUACUGGGUGUAAAGGGCGCGUAGGCGGGUGUCUAAGUCAGACGUGAAAUACCGGGGCUCAACCCCGGGGCUGCGUUUGAAACUGGAUGUCUUGAGUGCGGGAGAGGAAAGUGGAAUUCCUAGUGUAGCGGUGAAAUGCGUAGAGAUUAGGAGGAACACCAGUGGCGAAGGCGACUUUCUGGACCGUAACUGGCGCUGAGGCGCGAAAGUGUGGGGAGCAAACAG
rnacentral:rRNA from 1 species